GUGGGGAAUAUUGGACAAUGGGCGAAAGCCUGAUCCAGCCAUGCCGCGUGUGUGAAGAAGGUCUUCGGAUUGUAAAGCACUUUAAGUUGGGAGGAAGGGCAGUAAGUUAAUACCUUGCUGUUUUGAGGUUACCGACAGAAUAAGCACCGGCUAACUUCGUGCCAGCAGCCGCGGUAAUACGAAGGGUGCAAGCGUUAAUCGGAAUUACUGGGCGUAAAGCGCUCGUAGGUGGUUUUGUAAGUUGGAGGUGAAAUCCCCGGGCUCAACCUGGGAACUGCCUCCAAAACUGCAUGACUAGAGUACGGUAGAGGGUAGUGGAAUUUCCUGUGUAGCGGUGAAAUGCGUAGAUAUAGGAAGGAACACCAGUGGCGAAGGCGACUACCUGGACUGAUACUGACACUGAGGUGCGAAAGCGUGGGGAGCAAACAGGAUUAGAAACCCGGGUAGUCC
rnacentral:rRNA from 1 species